rnacentral:rRNA from 1 species
AUUGAACGCUGGCGGCAUGCCUUACACAUGCAAGUCGAACGGCAGCAUGAUCUAGCUUGCUAGAUUGAUGGCGAGUGGCGAACGGGUGAGUAAUACAUCGGAACGUACCCUGUAGUGGGGGAUAACUAGUCGAAAGAUUAGCUAAUACCGCAUACGACCUGAGGGUGAAAGUGGGGGACCGCAAGGCCUCAUGCUAUAGGAGCGGCCGAUGUCUGAUUAGCUAGUUGGUGAGGUAAAGGCUCACCAAGGCGACGAUCAGUAGCUGGUCUGAGAGGACGAUCAGCCACACUGGGACUGAGACACGGCCCAGACUCCUACGGGAGGCAGCAGUGGGGAAUUUUGGACAAUGGGUGCAACCCUGAUCCAGCAAUGCCGCGUGUGUGAAGAAGGCCUUCGGGUUGUAAAGCACUUUUGUCCGGAAAGAAAUCGCACUUACUAAUAUUAGGUGUGGAUGACGGUACCGGAAGAAUAAGGACCGGCUAACUACGUGCCAGCCGCCGCCGUAAGAC